rnacentral:hammerhead_ribozyme from 1 species
GUCAACUGACGAGUCCCAAAUAGGACGAAAUGCGCUUUCUAGAU